AGCAACAAGCAAAAAGGCAGUGCAUCUCAGAUCUCCUAGACAUUGGAGUUGAUAUGAUGAAGAUUUCGGACAUUGUUAAGUAUUUUAAGAGUCUGGUUUUAAAGUUGGCCAAGAUGGAAAAAAAUGGAGAAAAUCUCUCCAGGAUGUCAGCUGGACAGAAAAUCGGCCAGGAGGCCUACUAUAAGGUACUUAGGUACACCAAUUUCCUUUAACUGAAGACCAACUACUUGGAGGGCAACUAUGUGUGGACUCAUGACCCCUCUCACAAGUAUCCCAAGUGAAAAAAGUUCUUUGGAGAUAAUUUGGAUCGAUUCUGGUCCAAAGAGAUUUACCCCCCUUCCUCACCAGAUUUGAAACCACUAAACUUUUCUUUACGGGGCACUUUGGAGAGUUAAAGCAAUAGGGCCUUACUGUAGUGUAUGUAGGAACAACAAAGGUUCUUCUUUCUUCAUCUCCUCAUAUUGUUAUUAUUAUUUAAUAUUCGUAAAGUACUAUUUUAGCUUCUAUCUUAAUAGUAUAAAUAGCUGUUACUCUCAUGUAUUUGUCAUAGUGUCGAGUAACAAAGAUGUUUAAAAUAUAUUUGUUUAUAGAUAA
rnacentral:lncRNA from 1 species